UUGAUUUUCUGAUAUGUUGGAUACUGUUCAUUAUUUUAGACAGAGAACCACCAAAAUGGCUAACUCUCUUUGAUGACCAAAAAUAAGACUCAGUAUUAACAUCAGAAAUCCCCUAUCACUCCUUCAGAGAACUGAAAUGAUGCGAAAUUUUCAUAUUUUUACUCAUUGUGAAGUAUAAGGCUUUUGCAAAAAGAAGAGUGCUUCAGAACACACACACACACACACACACACAACCACAUACAAAGACAAUUAGAUGUUCUCAAAGAAACAACAAACAAUAAAUAAGGAAUUAAUUGCAUCUUUAUCAUUCCAUGUGGUUAAAAUCUCAUUUUACUUUAACGAUUAAUUAGUCUCCUAUAGAAAAUGACUUGUGCUUGAUUCCUGGAAGAAACAAAUAAGAAAUAUCCUGACUUGCGCUACAUCAGGUAAUUUCAAAAGUAUAACUCACCCACGGUCUGAAUAAUGUCACAAUGAGAGGGAAGAAUAUUUACGGCAGCUCCUUCCCCGCAUCAUAAAUUUCAUAGGAACGAGGAAAUUUGUCUCAUACAGAGCAGCGAAUACUGAUGAAAUUUUCGAAGGUAGGAGCUGUCAAUUCUAGUGACAUUAGGAGAUUUCAAAUGUAAUAAAAAAUGAGAAGCACAACUCCUAGAAGAGUCCACAGACAUAUACUUCUCCCUCCCCAUUAGUAUCUAAAAUUAUAUUGAAAGAAUUAAAUAAAAGAAACUGGCAUUCUAAAAGGAGCAAUCCAAGUAUCACUGGGUGUGGGAAAGGUGCGGGGCAGCUUUGCUGUUCCUUCUCAGCCUGUUACUGGAUCUAUGAGCUUCCUUCCUCUCUGUUAGGCACUUAGAAGUAGGUACGGCGAUGGGCAAAUUCAUAGCUGAGAAAGGAGAAUCGCAAGUUGAUCACUCAGAGAACUAAGACCAGAAGGCCCUUCUGCUUGCAUUAAGCUGUAAGCCUUUCUGCAGUGGAGCUUCUGGGAAAAUCUUGAAAAAAGAUUGAAAAAAUCUUGAAAAAAAAAAAGAUACCGUUAUUCUAGGGGGAAGAGAAAUGGUGUCAGCAUUAACCUCAACAGAGUUACGACAUGCAGGUUGUGUCCACAAGCACGAUAAAAAUAACUGCAACAAAGGCAGGCUUAUUUUCGCCCUCUGCGGUUUAGCAUGUGAGGGGGCCGGGGUUUCACGCUGAGCAGCAGGCCCCGGUAGCCCGGAACAACUUCUCCUUCUGCUCAUGGGCAAGUCUCCUCUGUCUAAGGUGACAUAAGGCAUGAAAAGCAGGAAAGAUUUGCUGGGAUUAGGUUUCCUGUGGGUAGCUUUAAAUAAGCAGCCAUUUAAAAGGGAGGCAAGGCAAGCAAAUAGGUAAAUAAUUCACAGGAGUUGAGUCUGACACAUUUUCAGAAGGUAAUAAACUGCAGUAUUGAUGCCUUUAUAAAGAAAUAAUUCAGCUUUGCAUUGUUUAGCUGGGUUGCUCAAGAAAUCUGUGACGAUACUGCCUUGCUUUUGUACAAUUACCUACAGAAGCAGCUGUAAUCACCACUGGAAGGGAAAUGCUCAGAAAGUGUCUUUGAAUUAUAAUUCCCAAAUAAUCACACCAUAAAUAAUUUCUGGAAUUCUAGAUGCUUCCUCUUAUUUUUCUCUUAGCCAUAGCUGUCUUCUGUUCCGUCUUCAGGCUCGGAUAUUUUCUGAGGUUUUCAGCAAAGACUGUGCUUUUAUUUUUUGCUUCCAAGUUUUAGAAGUUCUUCUGAGAGCUUUGUGCCCAGCUGACGUCUUCUCACAGAUAUCCACGGGUUAGCUUCUCUUCUCUUUUUCCUAAAAUCUGCCAGGAGAAAAAAAAAAACCUUCUCUAGCUGAGGAAUGUAAGCCAGAAACAAGAGCACUCCCUGGUGGACAUCCACGGCGAUACCACCUAAAAAGAAACGUGGACCGCUUUUUCUCCAGAGUCUCUCAAUCAAGAAGGGAGGGUUAGGAGAAGAAAGACCAUAUAUAUUAUCGCCUGAACUGGAAUGCCUUUGAGAGUAAGUGGAGGCUUUGGAGAUAAUGCUACCUGAAAAACAGACACAGACCAGGAAUGUUCUGGGCAAACAGAGACCUAAGGCCAUUCUAGGCAUUAAAGUUAAAAAUAGGAGUUCCCACUGUGGCUCAGUGGGUUAAGAACCCGACAUAGUGUCUGUGAGGAUGCGGGUUCGAUCCCUGGCCUCACUCAGUGGGUUAAGGAUCUGGCAUUGCUGCAAGCUGCAGCCGUAGGUCACAGAUGCGGCUCGGAUCCCACGCUGUUGUGGCUGUGGUGUAGGCCAGCAGCUGCAGCUCUGAUUUGACUCCUAGCUUGGGAACCUCCAUAUGCCAUGCGCGUGGCUAUAAAAAGAAAAAAAAAGUUAGAAAUAUUGAAUUUGCCCCUUGGGUAAGUGAAGUGAAACAAGACACAGAAUUUACCAACUUGUGGCAGGGAGAGGAAAGAGAGUCAUAGCUGGCAAAUAAUACCGUCCUCUCCUCAACAGGGCAGGUGUCGUCAUUCUCGCUGCACUCAGAGACUAAAGCAUGUUGCUAAUGGAGAGGAUACAGUGCCCGAGCUCCAAGAUUUUCCAAAAGUCACUGUUUCAGUAACACCUGAAGAUGUAAGAGCUUAAUUUCGACGUAAACGCAUUAAUGAUCCAAAAGGCACAUUAAGGUAUAUCUUUGACUUCACUCUGUAUUUCACUCUGGAAUGUAAAGAGAUACUCAUGUUUCCAGCCAGUUUAUAUCGCAGCAACGCAUUAUUAGCAGGUCUUCUCUAUCUUAAGAAGUUGGUUGCAGAAUGCAUUUCUAGGAACACAGCCGAUAGAGCAGAAUGACCUGAAAAGGUGGAUCCAAGACCAUAGAUAUUUACGAAAUAAAUGAAAUCAUCAGGUUAUGUCUAUAGAACUGACAGGACUUAGUAAUACCACAGCUGGAAUGAAAAAUAUUACAGAAUAAAACAAAAUAAAUGGAAAUAAUCUUUCAUGAGUGCCAAUAAUUUAGAUUUACAGGAUCAUCUACACAAAUUGCAACUUCUAAUGGAUUGCCAAACAUGUGUCUGAGGACUCUCAUUUCCACUGAUGUAGGUUUUAUUAUCAUUUGAAGGGCUAGAAAAUUGGAGUUUUAAAGGCAAAAAUGGGGAUAUAAACAAACGUUUGGAAAAUGAAUCGUGUGCAGAGAUUCAAUAAGCAAACUGUAUCUUGCACAAGAAUUCUUUUUUUUUUUUUACUGUUGUUUAAUUAUUUAAGUUGUGAAAUUUCAUUCUUUCUUCAGUUAAAAGAAAUAUCCCGAGACUGUAAAGGGUAAAUACAGAAAACUGCCAGGCACAUUGUUGAGGGGCAAGUGUUCAAAGGAUGCAGCAGCACUUUCCAAAUCCAAGUACCAUUUUGUGAUUACAAUACCUAUAUUUCACAGAUGUGUGAAAAUACAGCUUAGUUAUACAGGUGAAGUGACCUGGGCAUAGAGACGUUAAUCCAAACUAGGACCAGAACCCUUUAGUCCUGCUUUAGGCUGCCUGCAGCAUUACUGAAUUUCCCACUGCCUUAUAUCACUAGUUGUAAUGCAGCUGGAUAGACUCACAGCUGUAUUCAUACUAAUUCCAUCCUAAUUACGUUUCCAUGAAAUUACACUGCACGGAUUUUAUUGCAAUCAGGAGAUGCCCACUGUCUCCUUAAUGGAAACUAGGGAAAGACUCCAGCUUAGUGGAUCUCAACUGGGGUUAAUUAUGCUCCCUGCAACACGGAACCCUUGGAAAUAUCUGAAGAUAUCUCCAGUUGAUACAACCAGGGGCUGGGGGUGGGGGUGGGUCAGGUGCCAUUGGCAACUAGUGACAAGAGGCCAAGGAGGCUGCCAAACACCCUACAACACACAGAAGAGUCUCCAACAAUAAGGAAUUAUCCAGCCUCAAGUGUCAACAGUGUAACAGUUAAGAAGUCCUGCCCUAGACAUCAGCACUGUAUUGUGAAGUGAUUUCCUGGGCUGGAACCCACCAUUCGAUAACUCACCCGAGCCAAUUUAUGUUGAUGCCUAUGGGCUGUAAAAUCAGAUAUAGUUAUAAUCAGUUUCCUGACUGUGGGGAUAUGCUACAUUUGGAGUUUGGUGCUCUCUAUUCAAAAGGUUGCAACUUCUUUAGAAGGUUCCAGCACAGGAAGGGAGGGAGGAAACCUGAGGGUCCCAGCUACAAAGAAAUGGCAAGCCUUUCAUUCUUUGUACCCGAAGGUGACCUCCAAUGAGUCACACCCUUGUAGAAUCCUACCCUUUUGGCGUGACUCAGACUUAUGACUUGCUUCUAAUUGAUGGAAAUUUGAUGGGAUGCUCUUCUCAUAAUUAUGCUACAUUAUAACAGACUCUGUCUUAGACUGGAGUGAGAAAUUGGCCUUGAAGAAUGGAGCUGCCAUGUUGUGAACUGUCUAUGAAGCGGGCCAUGUAUCUGGGAACUGUGGGAGGCUUGCAGGGCAUGAGGAGAGCCUCCAGCUGACAGCAGUAAGAAGCCAGGAACCUCAGUCCUACAACCACAAGGAAAUGACCUGCCAACAAGCUGAGGGAGCUUGGGAGAGGAUCUUGCCCCAGUUGAGCUUCAGAGGACACUGCAGCUCUGGCUGACCCCAGAAUUGCAGGCUUAUGGGGCCCCAAGCAGAGCACCUAGUUUAGAUGGGCGCGAACAUGACCCACAGAAAUGGUGAGGUAACAAUGUGUGUUGUUUUAAGCUGCUCACAUUGUGGUAAUAUGUUACACAGUACCAGGACGAACUCACCAUGGAAGAGCAGUAUCUGUGAUGCUGAAGAAAAAGUGUGGGAUCAUGUGCUACUCUCGUUUAUUGAUCUGACUUCCUAACGGGGGGGGAGAGGUCUGGUGGUGAUGCUCGGGAUUAGGAUCACUAUAAAACAGCAGCUAAAGGCCAACUGGCUGCAGGGGACCAAAGAGAGCUACAGAGAGAAAAUUCCACCCUGCUUCACCAUCAAAAUUAUAGAAAGACUCCAGAUUUCACCUUCACCUUUUUGUUUUCUCCAAAGUGACCCGAUCGGCCCUAAGUGGGUAGAAACAUGAGAUGCUUUUCCAUGACAAACCGCCAUGUGGUGGCUGGGCAUAGGAAGCCCUGGGGGAGUUUUACCAGGUGGGGAGGGAGAUUUCAAGGAGAUGGAAGACUCCAUUUCCAGCUGCAAAAACCCCACACCCCUCCUCCUGUCCUUAGAAAACCAAGGAACUGCAAACACAUGAACAAAGAGUAGUGUCCAGUUCCAAGAAGAAGAAGACUCAAAUAGGGUUCAGGUAAAAAGAAAAGUGAAUCAAGGAAACUCUGUCCAUGAUACUUCCCGGGGGUGGGGGUGGGGAGGCAUGGAUGCAAGCAGAAUUGUCCCAAUUCAAAGCAUGCAUACACACACACACACACACACACACACACACACACACACACACACAGUAAAAAACCAACCGUGGCAUUUAAACAAGAGUGCUUGUAAUGGAAAGAAUAAAUACUGGAUAGAGAAAGCAAAUGAUGUGGGUAAUCAGGGGAAGAUUUAUUCAAGGAAACAAAAGAGCAUUUUAAGUGACUCAAACUCUGACAGAAAUGAAAGAAAGCAGAGGUUCUGUAAAAUCAUAAGAAAAAAUGAAUUAAUAAAAACAGAAUGAGAAGAAAAAGGUGCUGGCAGAGCUGAGGAAAUAAAUUAAGAAGGAAAACGAUACACCGUGUGACAAAAAGAGAGCUAGAGGCAUGGGUAGCAAGUGCAAUGUUUACUGAGAUAGCAUAAGCGAGGUGACAGAAACUCAUCCAAGGCCAGAGGCAGUGCAGAUGGAAAAGGGUGAACACUGACUUAGGGGAGGAAGAAGGGAUGCAGAAGAAAGGUCUGCUCAGAGAAGCAGGGAGCACAUGAGCACAGAGUCAUUUUGCGGAAUUCGAGCAAAGAGUUUCCAGAUGCAAGCGCAGUCAGGGUCAAGUGCUAGGUGCUAAGGAAAGGUCAUCAGUGAGUAGACAAAGUAGGAGAAAACUUCCUCUCUACAAAGGCAGAAAAAUCAGAGGACCUUCAAUUGCGUUGCCUCGAGGGUCCUUGAUCUCCACGGGCUAUCAAGGGGAAAUCUCAACUUUCCAGAUCAAAAGGAGAAUAGCAGGUGUCUGUGUGAUCAUCUGUAGUCUUCCAUCGGGGCUCUUAGGCUGCUAAGAGCCGCUCUUUCCCAAUCAUCCUUCCUUCUGACAUAUGGACCUUGGUUUAAGGGUAAUUGUGGAGUCUUCUAGAUAAGAUUUCUGUCUUGAUACAGUAAGCUUGCUUAGGAAGCCUGGCAACAGGUUAGGAGACUUCCAUCCCUCCCUUCCUUCCCCCUCCCCCUUUCCCCCUCUCUUACUCUUUCUCUUUCUCUCCCUUUCCCUCUCUCUCUCUCUCUCCCUCUUUCUGUCUCUUUCUCCCUGUCUCUGUCUCUUUCCCUCUUUUUAAGGAUUUAAGGUACAGUUGAUGCUUUCCUCAAUAUUAUCCCAUCUAAGAACUAGGAACCUGCCAAUGGAAAAUGGUACUUGGUGCUACUCUCUACAGGAUAAAGGAGUCAGUGAGGAGGUACCAAAUGCUUUAUUUAUGCAUUUGACAGGCUUUAGCCACCCUCCUACAGAACUGAAAAAUGUUCUUAAAUCUCUGUAUUCCUAAUACAGUGCAGGGAAGAAAGCAGUGAAAAACAUUCCUUGUGGUGAUGUUUUUUUUUUCUUCUAAAAACAAAACAAAACAAAAGGCAAAUGACAGUUUCAAAAAGAACUAUUUUUUAUGAAGCAGAAGGCAGAAGUUGGGGAUAAAGUACUAUUAGCAACUGGAUAGGGGAAGGAGAGAACUUGCCAAGUGGGAAAUGUCUUAUUUUGCAAUUUCAGAUUCAAUCUCCCAGUGCUCUUUGCAACCAAGACCCACGGGAAGCUCAGUUUAGUCCAGGCAAAUUAAUUCUGCAACCACUGUGGUCACUGGCGGUUUUGCUGCUAAUUUGCUGUUUUAGAUAAAGUCUGAAAAGUGACUUGCUACUCUGCAAUUAUCAUUUAGUUCUGGCCAAGAAAGCUAACUUUCCUACAAGGCUGGCCGGCUGGCA
rnacentral:lncRNA from 1 species